UACGGAGGGUGCAAGCGUUACUCGGUAUUUGACAUGGGUUUAAAGGGUGCGUGAGGUGGGAUGAAUAAGUCGAGCGGAUGAAUCCGCCGGUUAACUCGGAACGGUCAAGUGAUACUGUCGGACUAGAGUACAGAAGGGGCAACUGGAAUUCUCGGUGUAGCGGUGAAAUGCGUAGAUAUCGAGAGGAACACCUGCGGCGAAGGCGGGUUGCUGGGCUGAUACUGACGCUGAGGCGCGAAAGCCAGGGGAGCGAACGGG
rnacentral:rRNA from 1 species